rnacentral:SRP_RNA from 1 species
GCUGGGCGCAGUGGCACGUGCCUGUAGUCCCAGCUACUUGGGAGGCGGGGGUGCAGGAUCUCUUGAGUCCAGGAGUUCUGGCCUGUAGUGCACUAUGCUGAUUGGGUGUCCGAACUAAGUUCACCAUCAACAUGGUGACCUCCUAGGAGCGGGGACCACCAGGUUGCCUGAGGAGGGGUGAACUGGCCCAGGUCGGAAGUGGAGCAGGUCAAAACUCCCGUGCUGAUCAGUAGUGGGAUCGUGCCUGUGAAUAGCCACUGCAUUCCAGCCUGGGCAAAUAGUGAGAUCCUGCCUCUUU